rnacentral:rRNA from 1 species
UACGUAGGGAGCAAGCGUUGUCCGGAAUCAUUGGGCGUAAAGAGCGCGUAGGCGGUCCGGUAAGUCGGUUGUGAAAACUGGGGGCUCAACCCUCAGAGGCCGACCGAUACUGCCGGGCUAGAGUCCGGAAGAGGCGAGUGGAAUUCCUGGUGUAGCGGUGAAAUGCGCAGAUAUCAGGAGGAACACCAAUGGCGAAGGCAGCUCGCUGGGACGGUACUGACGCUAAGGCGCGAAAGCGUGGGGAGCGAACAGG